CGACCUUAGGACAGCGUGAGCCAAACCUCUCCAAGGGUGAACGGGUGAGAACACUGGGCCCAGCAGCUGUGGCGGCAGGACCCCAUCUGAUGGAAGGACACUCAGGAGUGCCGCGAGGUGCCUCCUGGGAGGACGCCAGCCAGGGAAGAGGAAGGAGGAAGUCAUCCCCAUACACUGGCGGGGGCUAGACACCACGCGGCAAGUAUGGAAGCAGGACUGAGUGUGGGGUGCCCGCUGUGGCCUCACAUUCGCAGGAAAGGUCGCCAGCCAUGCCCUGAAGGGGUGCUGCCACGGGACCCCUGCCUUCCCACGCAAGAGACCCAGACACUUGGCAAAAGAAGUGAUUCAUGCACGGAAAGAGGCCACACUUCUGAAACACGGGGCCAACUGCAGGCCAGGAACCUGGGAACACGACGGCACCAUCUGCCAUGCCAGGCUUCCGGCCACCGUGCCAGCCUCCACCUUGACCUUGACUCACAGAGUCGGGCUGGAAUCAGCAUGUGCCCCAAGGAGCAGAGACCCCGUGUGCUGGCCAGCAGCCACCCGGGAGUGCAUCCAGGGGUCCUGGAGCGGCUGGGACCACCUCCCAAGGCGGGAGGGGCAGGCAGCAGGUUUCUCUAAGCUGCACCUCCCUGAAGUCCCCAA